rnacentral:rRNA from 1 species
GUCUUUUUGAUUAUAAUUUAAAGUCUAAUCUGCCCAAUGAGUGUUUAAAUGGCUGCGGUAUUUUGACCGUACAAAGGUAGCAUAAUCAUUAGUUUUUUGAUUGAAAGCUAGAAUGAAUGAUUGAACGAAAAAAUUACUGUCUCAAUUUAAUUUUUUUUAGAAUUUUAUCUUUAAGUCAAAAAGCUUAAAUAAUUUUUAAAGACGAGAAGACCCUAUAGAGUUUAAUAUUUUAGUAAAAUAUUAUUUUUAUUAAUUAUUAUUAUUUUUUAAAAUAUUUUGUUGGGGUGAUAAUUAAAUUUAAUAAACUUUAAUUUUUAAAAACAUAAAUUUAUGAAUCAAUGAUCCAUUAUUAAUGAUUAAAAGAUCAAAUUACCUUAGGGAUAACAGCGUAAUUUUUUUUGAGAGUUCUUAUCGAAAAAAAAGAUUGCGACCUCGAUGUUGGAUUAAAAUUUAAUUUUGGUGUAGAAGCUAAAAUUUUAAGUCUGUUCGACUUUUAAAAUUUUACAUGAUCUGAGUUUAAACCGGCGUGAGCCAGGUUGGUUUCUAUCUUAAAAUAAUUUAAAUAUUUUAGUACGAAAGGACCAAAUAUUUGUAAAAGUUAUUAAUUUUUGAAUAU